CCUACGGCCUGCAUACAGGCGACCGCCCAAUCCAUCUCUCAGAGCUGCAGAGAGUGGACGUGGGCAAGCAUUUCUCCCAGGCCGGCUGUGCAUGCGGCCAGGCCUGCGGGAGAAACUUGGCUGCUCCGGGGGGCUGUAAGAGGGGGCUUCGGGCUUUUAAGCCCACCGCAACCCAUUCAAUGUUGGGUGGCCGGGCUGCAGCAGAUCCCAGCUGCAGGCAAUUUUCGGCCGGCACCCCCCCCCCCUUUUCAGCGCUGGGCUGCCGGGCCGCGGUGGAGGCUUUGGGCUUUUAAGACCACCCCUCCACAUUCAAUGUCGUGUGGCCAGGCCACGUUGGAUCCUGGUUGCAGGCAAUUUUCAGCCUGCAUUUUGGGCCUAGCUCAGCCUCAGCAAUCAUGUGGUAGCGGCAUUGGCGGGGGGCGGGCUUUUAAGCCCGCCGCCCGUAGCCAUGUUCCCGGGCUUGGCAGGCAUGCAGCCAGGCCGGCUUGCCACCGGGCCGGGCGCGGUCCGUGGAUCUGCGGAGGCGAGCGCGGGCUUUUAAGCCUGCUUGCUAGUAACAGUGAGCGGCCGGAGCUGCUGGCCGGGUUCCAUCCCAGCCGAAGGUAUAUAUCUCUGUCACCAUGGUGGUGUUGUAUGUAUGAAAUAGCUGUUGCAGAUCGCAUGUCACAGGAUACCAGCAUUGUGGAGAAUAAAUAAAGGCUAUACAUACCCAGCUCUCAGAGGUGCAGACCCAGGGAAGGUUUGAAGAGCAUCUUCUCACUUUCAGUCUUGCAGGUAGAGGAAGAAUACUUCUGUGGGAGAGAAAAAUGUUUUGGAGACUGAAGACAUGAAAAAUACAAUAAAAUAAGAAUGGGGAAGAGUUCAAUAAAUUGAGGGAGGUCUCCUCAAAUGCCUAGCAGAGGGAUCUGGAGCCCUACGUUUGACUGACUGGAAACCAAGUCCUAUGAAGAACAGUUGAAAGAUCUGAGCAUGCUUAGCCUGGAGGGGAAAAGAGACUAAAGAGAGAUAUGAUAGUCAUUUUCAUUUGUUUAUUUAUUAAACUGCCUUUCUCCAAAUGACUGCGAGGCAAUGUACAAUAUAAAAACACAAUAAAAAUACAAUACAACACAUCAUUAAAAACAAUGAAAGGUCCAACAGUAAAAUGUGACAAAAUAGCACAGCAGAGCAUAAUUAUGAAUCCUCAAAUAUCUGAAGGGCUGUCACACAGAAAAAGGAGCAGAUUUGUUCUCUGUUAUUCUGGAGGGCAGGGCUAGAACCAAUGGACUGAAAUUACAAGGAAGCAGCUUGAAGUAAACAUAAGGGAAUUUCCUAAUUGAAAGGGUUGUUCUACAGUAGAACAAUCUGCUUCGCAUGGUGGUGACGCUCCCCUUCACUUGAGGUUUUCAAACAGAGGCUGGACGCCAUCUGUCAGAGAUGCCAUAGCAGAUUCCUACACUGCG